rnacentral:rRNA from 1 species
GACGUAGGAUGCAAGCGUUGUCCGGAUUUAUUGGGCGUAAAGAGUUCGUAGGUGGUUUGUUAAGUCUGAUGUUAAAGACCGAGGCUCAACCUCGGGACUGCAUUGGAUACUGGCAGACUGGAGUGCAGUAGAGGCAAGUGGAAUUCCCAGUGUAGCGGUGAAAUGCGUAGAUAUUGGGAAGAACACCAGUGGCGUAAGCGACUUGCUGGGCUGUAACUGACGCUGAGGAACGAAAGCCAGGGGAGCAAAUGGG